rnacentral:lncRNA from 1 species
UAAACAGCAAAUUGUUAAACAAAAAGGAGUAUUUGUUGCUGUAACGAAAAAAAAAAGUGAAACUCGCCGGAAAACAAAGUAUGAACGUUUACGACGACGAGUCACUGAAGCAGGAGGUAAUCUACCUCCACUCCCUCUGGCACCAAGGCCCUCCCACCCGAAACCCGAUCCACGACCCGGUUCAGAGAUCCAGGCCCAAUUACAUCCCUCCGGCGGAUUUUCAGCUUCUCUCUCGCUACGGAGCCAACCCUAUUCACCCCCAACCUCCCCUCAGCAACAAGCGCUCCAGACCCGGGUCUGAUCGUGAAUGGCCCGUGAAGGAGCUCCCCCGUUAUCCCCCCACGGGCUGGCCCGAAGCCAAGCCGUGCAAAAAGGCUCGACCUUUAUCAGAUUCGGAGAAAAAGGAAGCGAGGGAAAAGUAUACAAGUUACAUAAGGCGCUGUACGGUCUUAAACAAGCACCACGAGCUUGGAAUGCAAAGUUAAAUAAGACACUACUUGAGCUCAAGUUCUCACGGUGCUUAAAAGAGCCGUCGGUAUAUCGCAAGACUAUCAAUGGAGACCUUUUAUGUGUUGCAGUCUACGUUGACGAUCUUUUUGUUACAGGAACAAACAUGAGGGUUAUAGACAACUUCAAACAAGAGAUGGCAACCAAGUUUGAGAUGAGUGACCUAGGGAAAUUAAGCUACUAUCUUGGGAUCGAAGUAAACCAACAUGAAGAUGGGAUUACUCUAAAUCAAAGCCGGUACGCAUUAAAGAUAUUGGAGGAGGCUGGCAUGAGCGACUGCAACGCAGUACAAAUACCUAUGGAUUCAGGUCUUAAGCUAUCAAAGUCAGAAGGAGAAAGAGAGAUAGAUGCGACAAACUACAGAAAGACCAUUGGAUGUUUUCGUUAUCUUCUUCAUACAAGACCAGACCUGUCCUACUGCAUUGGAGUCUUAAGCCGUUAUAUGCAAAGCCCCAGAGAGUCACACGGUAUUGCAAUGAAACAGUGCUUGAGAUAUUUGAAAGGCAGUACUUCGUAUGGCUUAACCUUUGAUCGUUCAACAUCAAACAUGAAGAAACUGGUUGGCUACAGUGAUAGUAGCCAUAACACUGAUCUUGAUGAUGGGAGAAGCACAACUGGCCACAUAUUCUACCUUGGUGAAAGCCCCAUCACGUGGUGCUCACAGAAACAAGACACGGUGGCAUUAUCUUCUUGUGAGGCCGAGUUUAUGGCUGGAACAGAGGCGGCAAGGCAGGCGAUUUGGCUUCAAGACUUGCUCAGUGAGAUCGUUGGAACAUCAUGUGAAAGAGUAGUCAUACGAAUAGAUAAUCAGUCAGCAAUAGCUCUUACUAAGAACCCGGUCUUCCAUGGUCGCAGUAAACAUAUACGCUCAAGAUAUCACUUCAUCAGAGAGUGUGUGGAGAAAGGAUUGAUUGAAGUUGAACAUGUUCCCGGAACGCAGCAGAAGGCGGACAUAUUGACUAAAGCUCUAGGGAGAGUUAAGUACAGAGAAAUGAGAGAGCUGAUCGGCAUGCAGGAUGUGGUGAAAGUGAACUUCAAGCUUAAGGGGGAGACUGUUGAGAUAAGCUUGAAAGAAGCUUAAGCUAGAAGUAAUCCUAUUCCUAUUUAUGAUAAGAUAACUUAGAGAUAAACAUGGAGUGUUUAGGAAGUUAUCUAAUAAGUGAGUUAUAUUAGGUUUAGGAUUACAUAUUCAUAUAUAUACAUGUCGUGUGUGACAUUGAGAGAUUGAGAGUGAUUUGUGAUUGUGAGAGCUUAAGUUUUUGAGCUAGUUUUCUUAAGCUAAUAAGAAGAGAUAUAUUCUUAUAAUCUUGUGAGUUCUUUACAAACGCUUUACAACAAUAGAGACUUCUGUACAAGCAUUAGUUGAAGGAACAAUAGGGUUUCUAGCUCCAGAAUCAGUAGUCACAGAAAGAUUCAACGAGCAGACGGAUGUUUUCGCCUUUGGUGCUACAUUAAUCGAGAUUUUGACUGGAAGGGAGCCUCAUAAUGUGUUUAUUGGAGCAUCUGAUUAUAUGACUAACCAUGACACUACUCCAGUUGCAGAGUCAUCUCUCAUAUCUGUCUCUUCGCCUAAAAGAAGAGAUCUUUUGAUGUUCUUGAAGGCCAUUCUGAUAAAAGAUGGGAAGGAUAAUGCAUUAGAGGCCAGCGCAGAGCUUGCUGCUAGCUGUGUGGAGAUAUUGCCAGAGAAGAGGCCAACGUUUGAAGAAGUAGCUAAGAAGCUGAAACACAUUCAGAACAUGUAAAGUAAGACAUUGUUUUUUUUUUUGGUGUGUCUAAAAUAAAGAAACGGGGUGAAAGUCCUAUUAUGUAGAGUUCAGUGGUGAAAAAAAUGGAAAAUAGUAUAUACUCCUUCCGUUUCAAAAAGUUACAUAUUCUAAAAAGAAAAUUUGUUCAAAAAGAUGCAUUUUUUUUCAUAUUUCGAGUGCAUUUUUGUCAACUAAUAAUGAAAAAUUAUGAACUUCAAGAACGUUAAUUGCAUUUCUUGAAGUUUUAUUGGUUUAGAAAUAUAUGAUAUAAAAUUACAAAAAACUAUGCAUUAACAACUAAGUUUUAUGAUGUUUUAUUAAUAAGUGUGAAAAUCCUAAAACAUGUAUUAUUUUGAAACAAAGAGAGUAUUUUACAACAAUUCUACCGAAGUAAACAAAAAUAUUUUGAUCGCCUCGCUGAACUGGCCCUACGGUUUCGGAUACUUCGUUUCAUUCGAGCUAUGUAUUAUUGGUUUGGGUGAGUUAUAUUCGGAGUAGCGGUCCUGGAAGGAAGCGGGGGAAGCACUUGAUUCUGGCUUUCCCAAAAUAAAUAAAAUAUCGACCUUUAUUUUCUUAAAAUCUUCAUUAGUCUAGGUGGCAAAGCAAGCAUAGUAUGUGUAUUUCUGAUCUUCGGUAAAUAGCUUUGUAACAAUCUUUUUUCCUAUUCUGGCCCAAUUAUUUUAUAAAGCUUCCGAUCCAAAUGUUUUUUACUAGUUUGAUGGUCGGGCCUGGUUCUGUUCAACAACAAUUCUACCAAAGUAAUCUGAAAAAUGUGAUUCAAUUUGAUGUUUAGUUUAAUUCGGCUUUCUAAAUUUCCGAAAUAACCAAAUUUAUGGGUUUCAGCUAUAUUUCAAUGUAUUUUCCAAAAAAAAACUCAAAAUAUUUUGGUUAAAUUUGGUUAUUUUAAUUAGUUCAGUUGUUUUGAUUAAUUUCAGAUAUUUCAAAUACUAUUAACUUUUAUAAUUUUGAAAACUGAAUCAAAACCUAAAACAAAAAAGUUCUGUUCGGUUCAAUCUGCACGCUUACAGAGAACUAUGGUAAACAUGUUACAAGUUUAUAGUUCAUUACCUAAAUUGUUCAAAACAGAGAUUUAGGGGGCUAUUAAUAAAAAGUAAAAGUAUAUGGUUUAACUAGUUACAAAGCAUAGAAAUAGAUUGAAGACUUUAUAAAGCAAAAGUUGAGGCGUUACAAUGCAAUAAACAGCAAAUUGUUAAACAAAAAGGAGUAUUUGUUGCUGUAACGAAAAAAAAAAGUGAAACUCGCCGGAAAACAAAGUAUGAACGUUUACGACGACGAGUCACUGAAGCAGGAGGUAAUCUACCUCCACUCCCUCUGGCACCAAGGCCCUCCCACCCGAAACCCGAUCCACGACCCGGUUCAGAGAUCCAGGCCCAAUUACAUCCCUCCGGCGGAUUUUCAGCUUCUCUCUCGCUACGGAGCCAACCCUAUUCACCCCCAACCUCCCCUCAGCAACAAGCGCUCCAGACCCGGGUCUGAUCGUGAAUGGCCCGUGAAGGAGCUCCCCCGUUAUCCCCCCACGGGCUGGCCCGAAGCCAAGCCGUGCAAAAAGGCUCGACCUUUAUCAGAUUCGGAGAAAGCGAAGCUCGCCGUGAGUCAGAUUCAGAGAGACACCCACCGCGCUUGCCGCGAGUUUUUCGGCAAGAGAGCAGCAACAUCUGGUGAAGAAUCGGAUGCUGAUGAUGGAGGAGGAGGAGGAGGAGGCGAGGAGUUUCAGUUUCUGUCGAGGCUGUUCGAGGAGAACGCGAAGCUGAAGGAGAGUUACGAGAAGAACACUGUGCACGGAGAAGUGUGGUGUCUCGUCUGUGGUGGGAGCGGGGAGAAGAGUGUGAGGAAGUUUAAGAACUGUUUGGCUUUGGUUCAGCAUUCGCUUGCUAUUCACAAGACUAUGAGGAAUCAGCAUAGGGCUCUUGCGCAGGUUGUGUGCAAUGUUCUUGGAUGGGAUGUUAACAAUCCUGUUGCUUCCAGCCAAAAAGACUCUCAGGUUAGAUCUAUACCUUCAAAAGAAGUUAGCAUUUGCAACUGUUACAUUGAUUUGGUUUAUGUUAUUAUGGUUAAUCAUAUUCUUUGGUAGCUUUUGAAAUAGUUUUGAUUAAUGUUCUAGAAAUCGCCAAGUGGUAAUUAGGUGCUAGAACUAGCUACUAGUCGGAUUAUUCUUCGAGAUGAAUCAUAUAAUUUGGUAGCUUUUGAAUAGUUUUGAUCAAUGUUCUAGAAAUCGUUAGGUGGUUACUAGGCUCUAGAACUAGCUACUAAUCAAAUUAUUGGGGACCUAGCCGAGGCCUCAACAUAUAUUUAUAUUUUACAUUUAUAUCAGAUAUUUUAUUUUUUGUGUCUAAUAAUAUAUCAUAUAUUGGAGUAUUAUUUUGUUGAAUUAUAAAAAUCAGAUAUACAAAAAAAAGAAAUUAGACAAAUUUAUGGAUUUGUACUAACAUUAUUGGCUGAUUAAACAGAUUUAGAGACCAAUUUUGACCGAUUUAGAAUGGUUUGAACCUAUUUGAGUCACAUAAAUUGGAUAUACAAAAAAAAAAAAUUAGACAAAGUUAUGGAUUUGUGCUAACAUUAUUGCCUGAUUAAACAGAUUUAGAGACCAAUUUUGACCCAUUUAGAAUGGUUUGAGUCACAUAAAUCGGAUUUCAAGAAAAUCGGGUUUUGAUCAUUUAGAAAUGGUUUUUUUGUUCUUUCCCUUCUCAGACAUUAGGGGUAGAGGCUGUGGAAGGUGCUACUGAGCUGCCUCAAGACCUAAAGAAGCUUCAGGAGAAACAACAUGUGAUGUCUGCUGAUGAACAAGCAAAGGCUGUUGUGUUACAAAUGCAGCAGAAUGCAUCAGAAGCUUUGAAAGGCAUUUCUGUCAAGGAUACUACUGGUUCAGUUGAGAAUGGUGAUGAACAAGUUUCCGAGGAGUUGGAGUCAAUAUCUCGACUCUUCUCAGAGAACGUUGAGCUGAAAAGUUACUACGAGAAAAACUCUGAAGGUGGACACUUUGUCUGCCUAGUGUGUUGUGCUGCGACUGAUAAGAAAAUGUUAAAGAGGUUCAAGCACUGUCAUGGACUUGUUCUGCACUCUACUAAAACCCCGAAAAUUGCAAUAAGAGCUCACAAGGCUUUUGCUCGGUUCGUCUGUAAACUGCUUGGCUGGGAGUUUGAUCAUCUUCCACGUAGAAUAGUGAAAGGUGGUGCUCCUCUUGUCGAAUCUAGUGCCAACCAGAACAAUGAGAAGCCAUCAUCGAUGAUCGAGGUAAGAAAUUUUACAAAGAGAACAACAACUCUUUUCUUAGUUCUUGUCCUAUUGUUCAUUAACUGAGUUGUGGUGUCACCUCAGGAACAUAUGAACGAAGACGAAGUCGAUGUUCCACAGGAAAAUAACGAGCCAUGCGUUGGAAAGUAGAUGGUAAGUAUGCUUACACACCUAAUCACUUUUUUUUUUGAUAUAGAAUCCUGUUUUUUGGGUUGCUUUCGGGCAUUCGUCUGGUUGAUCGAUUGGUUGUGUUUGAACAAGGAACUGAUGUUUUUGUCUUGUAUAAGCAGGAUGCAAGCACAACCAAAUAACACAUUGUUCUCUUCUGGGAGUUCAAUUUAAAGAUUCAAGAUAAACAAAGUUAUGUAAAUGGAGGGCACUGAAUCUUCAGGUACCAUUACUAGUUUUGUUCAUCUCAUAAGUCUUCUUAUGACUUGCCAGACUUGGUGCAGAGUCAUCAUUGACAAUGUGUAUACCAAACUUUUGAUUCUAAAAUUUUCAUUAGUUAAGAAUACUCUCUUCUUAUCAUUGAGAGAUUUGGAGUAUUCUAAUCUUGAAAUUUUAAAGAUACUUGAAAAGAAAAUGUUGCCAGACAUUGUGAGGCCGAGUUUAUGGCUGGAACAGAGGCGGCAAGGCAGGCGAUUUGGCUUCAAGACUUGCUCAGUGAGAUCGUUGGAACAUCAUGUGAAAGAGUAGUCAUACGAAUAGAUAAUCAGUCAGCAAUAGCUCUUACUAAGAACCCGGUCUUCCAUGGUCGCAGUAAACAUAUACGCUCAAGAUAUCACUUCAUCAGAGAGUGUGUGGAGAAAGGAUUGAUUGAAGUUGAACAUGUUCCCGGAACGCAGCAGAAGGCGGACAUAUUGACUAAAGCUCUAGGGAGAGUUAAGUACAGAGAAAUGAGAGAGCUGAUCGGCAUGCAGGAUGUGGUGAAAGUGAACUUCAAGCUUAAGGGGGAGACUGUUGAGAUAAGCUUGAAAGAAGCUUAAGCUAGAAGUAAUCCUAUUCCUAUUUAUGAUAAGAUAACUUAGAGAUAAACAUGGAGUGUUUAGGAAGUUAUCUAAUAAGUGAGUUAUAUUAGGUUUAGGAUUACAUAUUCAUAUAUAUACAUGUCGUGUGUGACAUUGAGAGAUUGAGAGUGAUUUGUGAUUGUGAGAGCUUAAGUUUUUGAGCUAGUUUUCUUAAGCUAAUAAGAAGAGAUAUAUUCUUAUAAUCUUGUGAGUUCUUUACAAACGCUUUACAACAAUAGAGACUUCUGUACAAGCAUUAGUUGAAGGAACAAUAGGGUUUCUAGCUCCAGAAUCAGUAGUCACAGAAAGAUUCAACGAGCAGACGGAUGUUUUCGCCUUUGGUGCUACAUUAAUCGAGAUUUUGACUGGAAGGGAGCCUCAUAAUGUGUUUAUUGGAGCAUCUGAUUAUAUGACUAACCAUGACACUACUCCAGUUGCAGAGUCAUCUCUCAUAUCUGUCUCUUCGCCUAAAAGAAGAGAUCUUUUGAUGUUCUUGAAGGCCAUUCUGAUAAAAGAUGGGAAGGAUAAUGCAUUAGAGGCCAGCGCAGAGCUUGCUGCUAGCUGUGUGGAGAUAUUGCCAGAGAAGAGGCCAACGUUUGAAGAAGUAGCUAAGAAGCUGAAACACAUUCAGAACAUGUAAAGUAAGACAUUGUUUUUUUUUUUGGUGUGUCUAAAAUAAAGAAACGGGGUGAAAGUCCUAUUAUGUAGAGUUCAGUGGUGAAAAAAAUGGAAAAUAGUAUAUACUCCUUCCGUUUCAAAAAGUUACAUAUUCUAAAAAGAAAAUUUGUUCAAAAAGAUGCAUUUUUUUUCAUAUUUCGAGUGCAUUUUUGUCAACUAAUAAUGAAAAAUUAUGAACUUCAAGAACGUUAAUUGCAUUUCUUGAAGUUUUAUUGGUUUAGAAAUAUAUGAUAUAAAAUUACAAAAAACUAUGCAUUAACAACUAAGUUUUAUGAUGUUUUAUUAAUAAGUGUGAAAAUCCUAAAACAUGUAUUAUUUUGAAACAAAGAGAGUAUUUUACAACAAUUCUACCGAAGUAAACAAAAAUAUUUUGAUCGCCUCGCUGAACUGGCCCUACGGUUUCGGAUACUUCGUUUCAUUCGAGCUAUGUAUUAUUGGUUUGGGUGAGUUAUAUUCGGAGUAGCGGUCCUGGAAGGAAGCGGGGGAAGCACUUGAUUCUGGCUUUCCCAAAAUAAAUAAAAUAUCGACCUUUAUUUUCUUAAAAUCUUCAUUAGUCUAGGUGGCAAAGCAAGCAUAGUAUGUGUAUUUCUGAUCUUCGGUAAAUAGCUUUGUAACAAUCUUUUUUCCUAUUCUGGCCCAAUUAUUUUAUAAAGCUUCCGAUCCAAAUGUUUUUUACUAGUUUGAUGGUCGGGCCUGGUUCUGUUCAACAACAAUUCUACCAAAGUAAUCUGAAAAAUGUGAUUCAAUUUGAUGUUUAGUUUAAUUCGGCUUUCUAAAUUUCCGAAAUAACCAAAUUUAUGGGUUUCAGCUAUAUUUCAAUGUAUUUUCCAAAAAAAAACUCAAAAUAUUUUGGUUAAAUUUGGUUAUUUUAAUUAGUUCAGUUGUUUUGAUUAAUUUCAGAUAUUUCAAAUACUAUUAACUUUUAUAAUUUUGAAAACUGAAUCAAAACCUAAAACAAAAAAGUUCUGUUCGGUUCAAUCUGCACGCUUACAGAGAACUAUGGUAAACAUGUUACAAGUUUAUAGUUCAUUACCUAAAUUGUUCAAAACAGAGAUUUAGGGGGCUAUUAAUAAAAAGUAAAAGUAUAUGGUUUAACUAGUUACAAAGCAUAGAAAUAGAUUGAAGACUUUAUAAAGCAAAAGUUGAGGCGUUACAAUGCAAUAAACAGCAAAUUGUUAAACAAAAAGGAGUAUUUGUUGCUGUAACGAAAAAAAAAAGUGAAACUCGCCGGAAAACAAAGUAUGAACGUUUACGACGACGAGUCACUGAAGCAGGAGGUAAUCUACCUCCACUCCCUCUGGCACCAAGGCCCUCCCACCCGAAACCCGAUCCACGACCCGGUUCAGAGAUCCAGGCCCAAUUACAUCCCUCCGGCGGAUUUUCAGCUUCUCUCUCGCUACGGAGCCAACCCUAUUCACCCCCAACCUCCCCUCAGCAACAAGCGCUCCAGACCCGGGUCUGAUCGUGAAUGGCCCGUGAAGGAGCUCCCCCGUUAUCCCCCCACGGGCUGGCCCGAAGCCAAGCCGUGCAAAAAGGCUCGACCUUUAUCAGAUUCGGAGAAAGCGAAGCUCGCCGUGAGUCAGAUUCAGAGAGACACCCACCGCGCUUGCCGCGAGUUUUUCGGCAAGAGAGCAGCAACAUCUGGUGAAGAAUCGGAUGCUGAUGAUGGAGG